ACCGGGAAGGCGGAGCGCUGGGGCGGCGCGCGACCCAGGCCAAAGCGGGGGGGCCCGUGGUGCGGCGCGAAGAGGCGCAGCCAAUCGGUCGAGCGGUCUGCCGCCUCCAGCACCCCGCCGGGGAAGACGUGCGCCCUGGGGCUGCCUGGAUGUCUUCAAGACUUACUUGGUAAUCAAUGAUUCAGAAGAGAGGAGGGAAGAAGUCAUGAUGCCUUUCCUGACAGCCACAGAAGUCACACUCCACCACUUCCACAGUAUCCUAUUGUGACACUGGUCAGCUCUAUUCCGUAUGGGAGGGGACCACAUGUAAACACCAGGAGGUUUUUCCAUGGGAAAAGAAAGGAAGAGCCUAUGCGUGGCUAGCCACGGAGAGAUGACUUCAGCUUGGAGAAUCAACAGGGGCCAGGAGAGUGUGUUCAGCCUGCCUGGAAAUGAAGAUGUCAUUGUGGUUAAAUGAGAUUCACCUGUGAAUGACUGGCACCAUCCAGUGCACCAAGAAUCACCACAUAAAAAUGAUUUCUCAGAAUGCUUUUUGAGAAAAGUUUUCAAAAGGUUCAUGUUUUCUCAAAAAUGCAUCAAUUCCAUUUAGGUGACAGUCUGGAAAAGGCAACACUGCAGGGACAGAAAUCAGAUCCGUGGUUGCCAGAUUUGAGGGUGAGAGGAAAGGAUUGCCUACAGAGGACAGGAGGGAACUUUAGGGUGGUAAUGAAAACAUUCUGUAUCUUGGUUGCGGUGGUGAUUACAUGGUUGUAUAUAUUUGUCAGAACUCAAAAAACUGCACACCUCAGAAGGGUGAGUGUUACUCUAUUAAAAUUGCUAUGCUAAGUCA